GACAGAGGUGCCGAGCGUUAGGCGGAAUCACUGGGCUUAAAGCGUGUGUAGGCGGGCCGUUAAGUACCUUGUGAAAUCCCCCGGCUCAACCGGGGAACGGCUGGGUAUACUGGCGGUCUUGAGGGACCUAGGGGCGGACGGAACAAGCGGUGGAGCGGUGAAAUGCGUAGAUAUCGCUUGGAACGCCGACGGUGAAAACAGUCCGCUGGGGGUCACCUGACGCUGAGACACGAAAGCCAGGGGAGCGAACGGG
rnacentral:rRNA from 1 species